UACGUAGGUGGCAAGCGAUACUCGGAAUCACUAGGCGUAAAGCGCAGGUAGGCGGUUUGAUAAGUCUGUUGUGAAAGCUCCCGGCUUAACUGGGAGAGGUCAACGGAAACUGUCAGGCUAGAGUGUGGUAGAGGUAGCUGGAAUUCCCGGUGUAGCGGUGAAAUACGUAGAGAUUGGGAAGAACACCAGUGGCGAAGGCGGCUAUCUGGACGGUUACUGACGCUAAGACUCGAAAGCGUGGGGAGCAAACAGG
rnacentral:rRNA from 1 species